rnacentral:rRNA from 1 species
AUUGAACGCUGGCGGCAGGCCUAACACAUGCAAGUCGAACGAGUGGCGGACGGGUGAGUAAUGUCUGGGCAACUGCCUGAUGUCGGGGGAUAACUACUGGAAACGGUAGCUAAUACCGCCUACCCUCGACUGUGCCCAGCUGGGAUUAGCUUGUUGGUGGGGUAACGGCUCACCAAGGCGACGAUCCCUAGCUGGUCUGAGAGGAUGACCAGCCACACUGGAACUGAGACACGGUCCAGACUCCUACGGGAGGCAGCAGUGGGGAAUAUUGCACAAUGGGCGCAAGCCUGAUGCAGCCAUGCCGCGUGUAUGAAGAAGGCCUUCGGGUUGUAAAGUACUUUCAGCGGGGAGGCGUUACCCGCAGAAGAAGCACCGGCUAACUCCGUGCCAGCCGCCGCGGUAAUAC